UACGUAGGGGGCAAGCGUUGUCCGGAAUUAUUGGGCGUAAAGAGCGCGUAGGCGGUCCGAUAAGUCGGCUGUGAAAGUCAGGGGCUCAACCCUUGAAAGCCGGCCGAUACUGUCGGACUAGAGUUCGGAAGAGGCGAGUGGAAUUCCCGGUGUAGCGGUGAAAUGCGCAGAUAUCGGGAGGAACACCUAUGGCGAAGGCAGCUCGCUGGGACGUUACUGACGCUGAGACGCGAAAGCGUGGGGAGCAAACAGG
rnacentral:rRNA from 1 species